rnacentral:lncRNA from 1 species
CAAAAAGACUCCAUAUGAAGCAGAUUUGAGCAACGUAAUUGUGUGGCCUGAACAAGUUGCAAACCCAUACAAUAUAGUGUGCUAUAAAAGGUAGCAACAUGACAAAACGUGAACAAUUCUAAAUAAAUAACCAAUGGCCCAAUUUAUGACAAAACAAUGAAUAAAACACAAAUAUAACAGACAACAACCAACAAUAACCACUUAUUGCAGGCUCCUGACUUGGAGCAAUCACAUAUGAAACGAUUAGCUCAUUAGAUCGAUG